GGAAUUUUGGGCAAUGGGCGCAAGCCUGACCCAGCAACGCCGCGUGAGGGAUGAAGGCCUUCGGGUCGUAAACCUCUGUCAGGAGGGAAGAACGACCUCCGGGCGAACAGUCCGGGGGAGUGACGGUACCUCCAAAGGACGCGCCGGCUAACUCCGUGCCAGCAGCCGCGGUAAUACGGAGGGCGCAAGCGUUGUUCGGAAUCACUGGGCGUAAAGCGCGUGCAGGCAGCUUGGCAAGUCGGGUGUGAAAUCCCGGGGCUCAACCCCGGAACUGCAUCCGAUACUGUCUCGCUAGAGUCCCGGAGAGGAAGGCGGAAUUCCCGGUGUAGAGGUGAAAUUCGUAGAUAUCGGGAGGAACACCAGUGGCGAAGGCGGCCUUCUGGACGGUGACUGACGCUCAGACGCGAAAGCGUGGGGAGCAAAC
rnacentral:rRNA from 1 species